rnacentral:rRNA from 1 species
AAUCAACGCUGGCGGCGCGCUUAACACAUGCAAGUCGAGCGAGAAAGGGGAGCAAUCCCUGAGUAAAGCGGCGCACGGGUGAGUAACACGUGGGGAAUCUACCUCUGGGUGGGGAAUAACUCUGGGAAACCGGAGCUAAUACCGCAUAAGCCUGGGAAGGGAAAGUCGAAAGACGCCGGGAGAGGACCCCGCGGCCGAUUAGCUAGUUGGUGAGGUAACGGCUCACCAAGGCAAAGAUCGGUAGCCGGCCUGAGAGGGCACACGGCCACACUGGCACUGAAACACGGGCCAGACUCCUACGGGAGGCAGCAGUGGGGAAUCUUGCACAAUGGGGGCAACCCUGAUGCAGCGACGCCGCGUGAGCGAUGAAGCCCUUCGGGCGUAAAGCUCUUUCGGCAGGAACGAUAAU